rnacentral:rRNA from 1 species
AUUGAACGCUGGCGGCAUGCUUUACACAUGCAAGUCGAACGGUAACAGGCCGCAAGGUGCUGACGAGUGGCGAACGGGUGAGUAAUGCAUCGGAACGUGCCCGGUCGUGGGGGAUAACGCAGCGAAAGCUGUGCUAAUACCGCAUACGAUCUGUGGAUGAAAGCGGGGGACCGAACGGCCUCGCGCGAUUGGAGCGGCCGAUGUCAGAUUAGGUAGUUGGUGGGGUAAAGGCUCACCAAGCCAACGAUCUGUAGCUGGUCUGAGCGGACGACCAGCCACCAUGGGAAUGAGACACGGCCCAGACUCCGACGGGAGGCAGCAGUGGGGAAUUUUAGACAAUGGGCGCAAGCCUGAUCCAGCAAUGCCGCGUGCAGGAAGAAGGCCUGCGGGUUGUAAACUGCUUUGUACGGAGCGAAAAGGCUCUCUCUAAUACAGGGGGCUCAUGACGGUACCGUAAGAAUAAGCACCGGCUAACUACGUGCCAGCCGCCGCCGUAAUAC